rnacentral:lncRNA from 10 species
GACUGUGAAUGGAGGGGUUGGACCAGAUGACAUCCACCGUUGUAUCCUGAACCGGGGAAUGUCAGUUGUAAGAGCCGGCAGUCUCUGUACCCACCACCUCCAUUGUAGAGAUGGGGCCGCAGCAGCUCAGAGACGGUGCGGACCGUGUCGAUCACACAGCGCAUGAGAGGGAGGGGCGGGGCGCCAGCUGCCAAGAUGGCAAGGAGACUGACUGCCUGAGUGCAGACCCGAGGCAGGGGCUUCCUGUCUGCGAGGAGGCCCUGGUGGCUGUUCUCCCACUGCCCACACCCUUCUGGUCUCCAUCAGUGACUGGUACAGCGCCGUGGCCCUGUUGCCAGCCUUCAUAAGAGGUGUGGAGGUGGUAACCUCCCUCCACCCACCCUCACCCUAGUAAGCGGACAGCCAGGAUCCCAACCAGACAGUUUUGCCCCAGUGCUGGGCCUCCUCUCUCCCCGGCCCCCCAGUUCUCAGGGGAGGCCCGGCUUUCCUGGGGAAUAAAGCCCCUUUCUAUUUUC